CAGUAGCCGCGGUAAUACGAAGGGUGCAAGUGUUACUCGGAAUUACUGGGCGUAAAGCGUGCGUAGGUGGUGGUUUAAGUCCGUUGUGAAAGCCCUGGGCUCAACCUGGGAAUUGCAGUGGAUACUGGGUCACUAGAGUGUGGUAGAGGAUAGUGGAAUUUCCGGUGUAGCAGUGAAAUGCGUAGAGAUCGGAAGGAACAUCUGUGGCGAAGGCGACUAUCUGGGCCAACACUGACACUGAGGCACGAAAGCGUGGGGAGCAAACAGGAUUAGAUACCCCCGUAGUCCCUGUCUCUUAUAC
rnacentral:rRNA from 1 species